rnacentral:tRNA from 1 species
GGGGGUGUAGCCAAGCGGUAAGGCAACGGUUUUUGGUACCGUGAUGCGCUGGUUCGAAUCCAGCUACCCCAA